CUCAUUUUUCCCGGGCUUUCGGUCAGCGUUUUCCUUUUCUCGCGGGUUUGGGCGCGCAUCGAACUCUGAAGGGUCGGGAAGGCCUGUCGUUGGAAUGUGGUUGAGUUCCAGGGAGUGUACAGGCUGGAGGAUGGGACAAGACCUAUCUCUGUAUCGAUCAAGCACGGCGUUGGUGUUCCAGCUCAUCACCAAUCCUAAGGAAUUCAAGUGCCUCCCAGGAUGAAUACAGGUUGUCUUGAUGGUGAUACAUUCAUCUGUCUUAAGAUCCCUGCUGAUCUGCUCAUGGUCAAACUCCUGGAAAGAGUUGAGAGUGGGGCACCUUGUUCCUGCAUCCUCAAAGGAGCAUCUUGUUCCUCCAUUUAAGCUUCCAGAGUUAAAAGGUACCUGUACCAUUUAGCGGCUUGUUCACUCAAAGAUCCAUCUUGUCUGGAGCCUGAGGAUGAUUGGAGGUGAAAGGUGUAAGCCAUACUCUGCUCAACUCCAGUCUGAAACUGAGGUUAGUAAAUAAAGAACACAUACUUAACACACGGGAAUCCAACUCUUGGAGGACAUCAGAAGUGGAAUUUUCUUAUACAACCUACCUAUUCAAAUUAGCAUAUAAUCUUUCUAGCCUUUCUAAAUAAAUAAAGGGAUUUUUUUGU
rnacentral:lncRNA from 1 species